GUGUUACACAGUUCUGGUUAUUCUCACACAUCUUCAGUCACCAAUGCCUGGGAGUCGCUGCAGUGUGAAAUCUGCAAUAUCAUAUCUACUUGACUUUGUACCGAUGCCAUUCUGACCCUGCAGCAAGAGCAGAGUACCUUGCUAAGGGAAGAGAAAGCUACAAGAGAAGAAAACGGCAGGGAAAGAUUCCAUAUGUAAAGUCAAGUGAGCUGCCAGAGAGAGAGAAAAAGAAACAUAGAGAGAAAUGGAAGGCUGCAUCCAGUGCUUACAGGAAAAGGGAAAAGAUUGCCAAAGCAGUAUUAGACCUUACACCACCAUCUAUAGAGAACAUUCCACCAGUUGAUGUAGAUUUAGCACAAGAGCAGCCAGAAAAUGCAGGUCAAGCUGUGGUAGACCCCAUACCUGAGGAUUUUGAUCCACCAGUGUCCUCCACACCAGAGAGAGAUCAGAGAAGUAAAACAUCUUCAGCAGAGAAGUGUUGCAAAAGACUGCACAAAGAGAUUGAUAAACUAAAAAAGCAGGUCUUUCAUCAGAGGAAACAACUAGCAGAGAUGAGAAAACUAAAUGAUAAAUUCAGUAAGAGAGAGAAGAGGUUAAUGGCAAGACAAAGAGUAGGCUUAAGUGAAAAAUUCAAGCAAAGGGGAAGCAAGAAAUUGUCAGCAGAUAGAAAGCAUGCUGUUAUAAAUUUUCUGUCCAGAGAUGAAAAUAGUCGUCUGUUAGCUGGGACAUAAAGACACCAUCACCAAAAAAAAAAAACAGAAAAUGCAGAGUUCUAACAAAGCCCCUCACUGAGCUCCAUGCUCAGUAUCAAACUGCAGUGGAACAGCAUCUCUCCAUGCCUUACAAUAUGCCAGAAGACAGCCUUUUUAUAUCACAGAGCCGAAGACCAGAGAUAGACACAUGUUGAAGACAACCAGCAUCUCUGAGUUAGUGAGUAUGAUUGUGUGUGACCCUAAAAACAAAGCAUGCAUGGAUCGUGUAUGUCUAAACUGCUGCUUUGAUGAAAUUGAACUUCCUGGGACAGACUGUACUGAUGUUUGUUGGGAACAAUGGGAGUGAGUAACUUCAACAAAUGGAGAGAAAACCUUUGCAAAUGUUUUAAAGCAAACAUACACAGGGACAAUCCAGGACUUGAAUAAUCUAUUCCACAAAAAGCUAGAUGCUUUAGCCAUACAUCAAUUCAACUGGAUCCACCAAACAGAGCAGUUUCAUGAACUAAAACAAAAUCUCACUGAAUCUGAAGCUGUUCUUCAUGUAGAUUUUUCAGAAAACUACGCAUGCAAGAUGAGUACAGAAAUACAAGAUUAUCAUUUUGGAGGCAGCCGAAAGCAGGCAACAAUACACACUGCAGUCCUCUACACAGUCCAUGGCACCAAAGCAUAUGCAACACUGUCAGACAGCCUCUGCCAUGAUGACCGGGCAGUGUGGGCACACCUGGAACCCAUUCUGAAAGAGCUUUGUGCAACCUUCUCACAGAUUAUAGUUCUACACGUAAUCAGUGAUGGACCCAUUACCCAGUACCGGAACAAACCAAACUUUUAUCUCCUUAGUACUGUGCCUUUCCUUGCUGAGUUCAACCAUGUUAUGUGGAACUAUUCAGAAAAGUCCCAUGGAAAGGGGGCACCGGAUGGUGUUGGUGGUGCCUUAAAGAGGGAUGCAGAUCUCUGUGUUCAACGAGGAGGUGAGCUGCAGACUCCACUGGACUUAUAUGAGAUGCUGGCCAAUAAAUCAGAGUCAACUAUUACCCACCAUUGGGUAAGUGAAUAGAGCAUGCAGAUAUACGAUGAGCUGAUUCCAGGCAAGUUGACGACUGUGAAGGGCACCUUGAAGAUACACCAGGUUUUCUCUUCACAAGCUGCACAAAUUUAUCAUAGGGAGGUGUCAUGCUUCUGCAAGCAUGCAGAAAUGAAGACAUGCCUAUGUUACAAGCCAGUAAAGGUAGACCUGAGGGACACCAUGUGCCAAAGUGAGGAUCCCUCAAGCUCUCUGACCCACCAAGGGAACAAGCUUGUCUUCAAAACAUGUUUGGCAAGUUUGUGAUUGUGACCUAUGAAGAGCUUCCAUAUGUAGGCCAGGUCCUUGAGGUUGUGGGAGAAGAAGUCCAGGUUAGUUCCAUGCGGCAGUCGGGUGAAAAGAACUUAUUCAUGUGGCCGCAAACUCCAGACAUCAUUUUCUACUAUAAGAAAGAUGUUCAUGCUGUCAUCUCCGAACCUGAGCCAGCAACGUCACGCUACUCCCAACUUGAGCAACCAAGAUUGGGCAAAGUUCUGAAAUGCCUGGGGUUAAAGAAAUGCCUGUACUUAACGCCACAUGCCUGCAGUUAAUCAAAAUUGAUUUUUAGCUUCUUUCAAGUUAAAUGUAUGUUGAAAACAAAGCAGUGCAUUUAUGCUGCACCUUUGAAUGUGAUGAUAUGAGAUAAGAUUUUAAUAAAAAAAAGUUUAUGAAGUUAAUGAAAUGUUUCUGUUAAUGGCAGUUCUGUUGAAUUUUAAUAAAUGUUUCGUAAAUCCUUAUAUGUCAUUGACCCUUAUAACACUCAUUUUCU